GAAGAAAGGCAUCAGCAACGUGCCAGCAUUUCUGAUCUUACCGACCGCAUACUCCUUCCCAGAAAGCCCUUCAUUUUCCAAGCACUUCUGCUCACCCUCUGGGUGACCAUCCAGCGUGUGAUGGCAAGCAAUGAGUGAUCUCCCAUCUUCAUCUCAACCCACCAGCUGUCUCAUUCACGGCAUUUUCAUAUUUUCUCCCCACACCUCACCGGUUAUGGGAAGGACUCCAUUUAAUUUGAAGAAGGCAGAAAUGACAGACAAGUUCAAAGGAGCAAUGUUGUAUCAAUCUUAAGGAAGACCCAAUAGCCAAUAGAGGUACUGUCCUGUUAGCUGCAUCCAGCAUGAAAUGGAGGAGUAAGAAUGAAAAAAGACCACUGUGUUUCAAGCCUAUGAGGCAAAUGGAGAAGCCAUUAUGGGACUCAAAACUGCAUCUCCCUUAUAACCACCCACAUCAUCAAGUAAUGA
ensembl:lncRNA